rnacentral:rRNA from 1 species
AUUGAACGCUGGCGGCAGGCCUAACACAUGCAAGUCGAGCGGAUGAAGGGAGCUUGCUCCUGGAUUCAGCGGCGGACGGGUGAGUAAUGCCUAGGAAUCUGCCUGGUAGUGGGGGAUAACGUCCGGAAACGGGCGCUAAUACCGCAUACGUCCUGAGGGAGAAAGUGGGAGAUCUUCGGACCUCACGCUAUCAGAUGAGCCUAGGUCGGAUUAGCUAGUUGGUGGGGUAAAGGCCUACCAAGGCGACGAUCCGUAACUGGUCUGAGAGGAUGAUCAGUCACACUGGAACUGAGACACGGUCCAGACUCCUACGGGAGGCAGCAGUGGGGAAUAUUGGACAAUGGGCGAAAGCCUGAUCCAGCCAUGCCGCGUGUGUGAAGAAGGUCUUCGGAUUGUAAAGCACUUUAAGUCGGGAGGAAGGGCAGUAAGUUAAUACCUUGCUGUUUUGACGUUACCAACAGAAUAAGCACCGGCUAACUUCGUG